AGUAACGCGUGAGGAACCUGCCUCAAAGAGGGGACGAACAGUUGGAACGACUGCUAAUACCGCAUAAGCCCACAGCUCGGCAUCGAGCAGAGGGAAAAGGAGCAAUCCGCUUUGAGAUGGCCUCGCGUCCGAUUAGCUAGUUGGUGAGGUAAUGGCCCACCAAGGCGACGAUCGGUAGCCGGACUGAGAGGUUGAACGGCCACAUUGGGACUGAGACACGGCCCAG
rnacentral:rRNA from 1 species